UCUCUGGGUGCUCAGUAUGCCUGCAGGUAUGAAAACAACACGACUAUAUCCCCUAAUAGCACGAACUCUGAUUAAUUGGUCACCAUAUCAUUGCAGAUUGCACUAUGUGAAGUGAACAUUCUGAAUUCCUGCUCAUUCAUCUAGUCAUUUACGUAUUUGAUUUCUUCUUAGUCUGAAUUUCUUUUGGUCUUUUGGUCCGUCUGUCUGUAAACAUUCUGAAUUUCUGCCCUGUUGCUCAUUCUGCUGUCAUAUAGUUUUCUUUUGAUCUUUUUGGUCUGUCUGAACUCAGAAACCCUCACAUACCUUAAAACAUAAACCGCUCAGCUCUUUCUGUAACAUGAACAUUCUGUUCAUACUCUCGAGCUCAUUGUUUCUUUAGCUUGUCGGUUGUUAUUUCUCAGUGAUGGAAAUUUUUUAUCUCAACUUUCUGUUCAUGUUGGUGGUGGUUUUCAGGAUUUCCAGAUUGGGGAGAAGGUGCGGAGCUUGCCCGAUUGCCUGCACGUGUUCCACGUGCCGUGCAUCGACGGUUGGCUGAUCAAGCACGGAUCGUGCCCGCUCUGCAGGAGGAAGCUCUAGAUCAUCAUCAUCACCAUCAUCCACGACCGACGACGAAGACCGACGAGGAACUUCUAAAAUUCUGUCUGCUGCUAUUAGGAAGGAGGUCUUGCUCUGCUUGCUGCUUUGCAUGCUGUGUGUGCGCGCGCUAUGCCUGUGUUGCUGUUGCUGCUGUUAGGAGGCUGACAUAUCUAUAGAACGAACCCUAAAUUUAUAGAGCUCUUUUUUUUUUGCCUUCUUUUCUUUUUGCAUUUUGAUUUUUGAUCUCUCUCUUCUCCCGGUGGAUGUAAUAUAGUAGUACGUACGACCACCGGAACAAAAAAAGCACUGGACCGGCUUGCGCUUCGUUGUUGUUCUCCGGACUGAUGAACUCCUCAAAUCAUCAUGU
rnacentral:lncRNA from 1 species